rnacentral:rRNA from 1 species
CACGGGGGGGGCAAGCGUUGUUCGGAAUCACUGGGCGUAAAGGGCGUGUAGGCGGUCAGGUAAGUGGGAUGUGAAAUGCCCCGGCUCACCCGGGGACCGGCAUCCCAUACUGCUUGGCUUGAGUACGGGAGAGGAUGUGGGAAUUCCUGGUGUAGCGGUGAAAUGCGUAGAUAUCAGGAGGAACACCGGUGGCGAAGGCGCACAUCUGGCCCGAUACUGACGCUGAGGCGCGAAAGCUAGGGGAGCAAACGGG